AUAGCAGGCUUCAGAUCACUUGUAAAUGCAGAUCUCCAGAGUUUUCUGAAGGGCGCGAGUCCGCGCGGCUGACUAACUUCAACAUUUUUUCUCAAAGCAGCACCGAGCAGCAAGCGUGCAGCCAUGCAACGGCUCUCCUUCCACUCUCCCGAAGCCCAGUGGAGUUGGCAGGGUGCAGCAGUCACCCCAGGCUUUUCUGCACCACGCACAGCUUUCUCAUGUACUGGCUACGUUCCGACAGACGGACCCGUGAAGUGCGCAUGACGCGCCAGAACGCACGACACACAGGCAAAAGAACCAACCCAAAAAACAAAAACCCUCACAAGUGCCAGAGGUCAGCACUGCGGGUCUCCGAGGGCUCAACCCCUCCCACGGUUCACCUCACAGCCCCGCAGCCAGUCGCACAACACCUCUGCUGAGCCUCAUUGCCGUAUGGUCAAGGUGCGUGAAGGGCACGACCGGCACAGCUUUGCUAUUUUAAUAGAGCAAAACCAUCCAUCUGCGUUUUAAAUAAAUGGCCUCGUUCUUUUAAUUUGUGUUUUUUUGACCCUAACAUGUUCUGUUAGGGCAGGUUGCUGGGAAUGUCCCUGCAGGGGACAUUCAUUCAGAAGACAGUAGCGUUCUCAUGAUAAAGGUAAGAAAAACAUUUUUUUUUUGUUGGUUUUGUCAGUGAUGAGCAAGUGUGGGACACUCCCAGAAGGCCUAAAGUGUAUGUGGAAUCUCGAUGAACUAGAAUGUCAGGAUAAAAAGAUCUCUGCAUGAUGCGUGGUAGAGAGAAAAGAGAUUUUACAAUAACAGACACCUAACGUGGGGCCCGAGGUGUGUCUCCUCUUUAAUGAUACAAGAUGGCAGCUGCGAAGGAUUCCGCCCCUCAAGGUUGCUGCUAAUAGGGUUUCACAUGCAGAAAGAAACUCUUGAGAUUGAUUCAUGUUACGUUGAUCUUAUACGCUUUUCUGCCCUCCCACAAUCUUGAUAUCAAAAAGAUAAAGUCAAACGGAAGCAGCGAAGCGUGGCUGGUGGGAAGAGUGUGAGGGUCAGAGGUGAGAAACAGAUUAAAGACAUCCUCCCCUCCUCUCUGCACCAACCGAUACUCAUCUGCUUUGGCAAAGAAGACAAACAAGUAUCGAUAUCCGCACCGAACAGUCGUUUGGACUCCAUUAACGGGCAGUUAGAUGCCAGCUGGUAGUGAAGCCCACACACAAGCCUAAAGUAUAUGGCAGCCCACCUGGAAGUGUGGGCUCCUGCUGCUGUAGUCGCUCCUCCACCAUGUAUGGAUGAUGUUGUGUAAUAAGCCAAGACCUCGAAAGCACUUUUUGUUGUAUAACACUUUUUUUUAGGAUUAGUAAUAUGAUGUUGGAGCAGCCGUAAAUAGACCCAAGAGCCGAGAUACGAAGCUGGUUUGACUCUGAU
rnacentral:lncRNA from 1 species